CCUACGGGAGGCAGCAGUGGGGAAUAUUGCACAAUGGGGGAAACCCUGAUGCAGCGACGCCGCGUGAAUGAAGAAGUAUUUCGGUAUGUAAACUUCUAUCAGCAGGGAAGAAAAUGACGGUACCUGACUAAGAAGCCACGGCUAACUACGUGCCAGCAGCCGCGGUCAUACGUAGGGGGCAAGCGUUAUACGGAUUUACUGGGUGUAACGGGAGCGUAGGCGGUUUAGCAAGUCAGAAGUGAAAGCCCGGGGCUCAACUCCGGGAUUGCUUGUGAAACUGUUGAACUAGAUUGCAGGAGAGGUAAGUGGAAUUCCUAGUGUAGCGGUGAAAUGCGUAGAUAUUAGGAGGAACACCAGAGGCGAAGGCGGCUUACUGGACUGUAAAUGACGCUGAGGCUCGAAAGCGUGGGGAGCAAACAGGAUUAGAUACCCCUGUAGUC
rnacentral:rRNA from 1 species